AACGAACGCUGGCGGUAUGCUUAACACAUGCAAGUCGAACGAACAAAAUUGGGGCUUGCUCCAAUUUGAGUGAGUGGCAAACGGGUGAGUAACACGUGGGAAUCUACCUAUCAGUACGGAAUAACAUUUGGAAACAGAUGCUAAUACCGUAUAUUCUCCAAGGAGGAAAGAUUUAUCGCUGAUAGAUGAGCCCGCGUAAGAUUAGGUAGUUGGUAGGGUAAUGGCCUACCAAGCCGACGAUCUUUAGCUGGUCUGAGAGGAUGAUCAGCCACACUGGGACUGAGACACGGCCCAGACUCCUACGGGAGGCAGCAGUGGGGAAUAUUGGACAAUGGGCGAAAGCCUGAUCCAGCAAUACCGCGUGAAUGAUGAGGGCCUUAGGGUUGUAAAGUUCUUUUAGUUGGAAAGAUAAUGACGGUACCAACAGAAAAAGCCCCGGCUAACUCCGUGCCAGCCGCCGCCGUAA
rnacentral:rRNA from 1 species